rnacentral:misc_RNA from 1 species
GAUGAAGAACGUAGUGAAAUGCGAUAAGUAAUGUGAAUUGCAGAAUUCAGUGAAUCAUCGAAUCUUUGAACGCACAUUGCGCCCGCCAGUAUUCAGGCGGGCAUGCCUGUUCGAGCGUCAUUACAACCCUCAGGCCCCCGGGCCUGGCGUUGGGGAUCGGCGGAGCCCCCCGUGGGCACACGCCGUCCCCCAAAUACAGUGGCGGUCCCGCCGCAGCUUCCAUCGCGUAGUAGCUAACACCUCGCGACUGGAGAGCGGCGCGGCCACGCCGUAAAACACCCAACUCUUCUGAAGUUGACCUCGAAUCAGGUAGGAAUACCCGCUGAACUUAAGCAUAUCAAUAAGCGGAGGA